rnacentral:lncRNA from 1 species
GAAAUUUCGGUGUUUGAGCCUGGGGAUGUCAUGUUUCCUUGUGGAAUUAGUCCAGGGAGGCUUUUCAUGGAGUGCCUUAGCCUGACGAGCUCCAGUUCCAAAUUGGAUUACGAUGACGAGGGUACCAUUGAUGAUCGGAGUAGUCACAUUUCCAGCUGCAAAAGCACCGCAAAGUGUGGUUUGAGCAAAGGGCUAAGCCGGUUUAGCUCUUCGAGUCUAGCUCAAGGAGAGGCAGCUAGUCUAUUUGGU